rnacentral:lncRNA from 1 species
GGGACAAAGAUUAAAAAAAAAAAAAAAAAAAAACCCAACCCAAUAGCUCAUAGUACUUCCCCUAAGAAAUGAGAACCCUGUAAAUUCUAGAAAUUGGGGAGGGAUGUGGCACUGUGAAGGAGAGAUGUUCUGAUACCCAGGAACUAGUCCACAAAUGAUCUCAUUUCUUGAAAAAAAAGAAACAGGAGAAUUAAAUGUGAACAGCAUUGAACUGCCAAAAUACAUUUCAUUCUAGCCUACUGAGCAGGAAGCUGAAGCUCCCAGGUGCCAGAGGCUUCUGUGAAAAGCUGGAGUUUCUACAAUUAUGAGACCUGUAUUGAUUCAACUGGCCCUAUGAGCAAUAUAAGGCUGAGAGGCUGGAGAGAAGGAAACUAAUUGCACUCUGGACAAAGUUCAUUUAGGUAAAACAAGAUAUGAACGCUACUGCCACAGGGCAGAGAUCUCUGGAUCAACAGAGUUAGACUGGCCAUGUUGGGUCUGGUCCCCUGGCAGGAUCUGAGAUGGAAAGGUGAUCAUCCAGUCAGUGAGGUGUAGGAAUGAAGGCAGGGAAGAAAAACAGCAACAACCACUGACCACUGCUGGGCUUCAAAUCAAAAGUACCUGGUGGUGCUGUUGUUCACAUCAUAAAAAACUGGAAGUGACACAUCACAGGUGAAGGAUGCCCAAUCAGGAAUGUACUAAUCUAGUCUACACAGAUGUGCAGGAAACCUGUGAUCAAUCAUAUUGUGAACAUCCUUUACCCUUGGGUUCUCAUCUUUAAAGCCAAUCAAUUAGCAGCAUGUGAGGAUCCUAAGUCCCCACUAUCCUGGGAUCGUGAGCUGAGUCAGGGAGAUGAGAGCCAGUGCAGUGAUAUAAGAAACAGUUCCCCCAACAGCUGUAACAGAUAAGGAACAAGGCUGCCAGGAAGACCAAGGCACAGAUCGUGCAUGGUUUCCGCUCCAGGAGGAAACUCAGAAGGUAGAAGCCCAUGAACAUCGAGUGACUGAACCAGAGAGCUGGGUUGAGGGGCUUUGGGAUGAGCAGAACAGGCAGUAACCACUGAAGGCAGUACAUGGUCUCUGCUGGGCAGGGGAGGAGAGGCACAGGGCCCACAACAGCAAGUGAACUUUAUCUGCUUCUUUGAUUUCGUUUCCACUCAAUUUUCAACGGCUUCUCCAAUGUGUCAAGGAGCACCAAGUUGUCCC